CUCUGUCUGUUCCACAUCCCAUACCUCCUCACUGCCCUCCUGUUUCCAUGAGGAUGUCCCCACCACCCAGCCCCACCAGACCUCUAAACUUGGGGCCUCCAGUCUCCUGAGGGUUAGGUGGGGAAAAUGGAAGUGCAGACAUUCAUGACCUGAUUGGGCAGGCUGAACGCUUCCAAGUUUCUAUCUGUGGAAAUGGGGCCAAUGAUCUGUGCUACCUGAUUCAUAGAUGUCUGCAUAGCUACAGACUCCACUAGCAAAGUAACAAAUGGAUUCCCAAGAUUACCCUGCAUCUGUUUGCGGAGGAAAAAAGCGAAGCGCUUCCCUGCAGAGAGGAGGAAUAGUCAACGCCUUUGUGUACCUCAGGUGUUUCACCAACAGAAAGAGAAAAAUUAACUGCCAGAUAUUCGUGAGGGUGCAAAGUCACACUGUGUCACAUGUGAUUAUGAUUACGUUGAUAGGGCACGGCCAAUGGUGUGGAUCUGAGACUAAGAAUCACGAAGUGGCGCUUGGUGACUCACUGGGGACACUUGCUUGCCUUCAUCGUUAACUGGAUGGUUUGGACAAUGUUGUUUCUCAAAAUAACUGGGGCACCACUAUAUUCUAAGUGUUCUUCUAAAAUGCAAGGACUCCCCAAACUUGAAAUUUCUCCUCAGUUGCAAAGUGGUGUAGAGAACGAAGCUCUGUCAAAAUGUAGGCAUGUAAGGCUCUCUACAUAAAAUGGUCUCCUUAAGACAUUUUUAAGUGAGUAGAGUGCAAACUUAACAGAUAAUACAAAAUGGGGCUCCGGGGACUCUGCUGGUCUUAGAGGGCUUGUUAUCAAGUUAGCGACAUUAUAAAAAAUAUCAGAGAAGAAAAACUGGAAAAGAGUGUCCCAGCAUCCCCUUCUCCGUGUUUGAGUUUGUCAGGAAGAGGCGUUUGGACUCGCUCUGCUCUAAGCUUGUGUCUCCAGAGAAGACCGAUGCUGAACUCCCAUUCCUGGAGGUGAGAGCAUCAGAGUCAAGGGCUUUGGGCAGUAAGUGGAGCUGCUAAGACUGCCGAAGUUGGACUUCCUUCUAUCCAAUUCUUGCCAGCUUUUCUAAUCCUUGUGCACGUUUGUGGAUCCCCACACUAGGAGGAUCCAACUUGGGAUCCAAACAUGGAGCCCUUAAUCCGUUGAGUGGCUCUUCUGUUCCCUUGAUAAGAUCUUGACAGGCAAUAAAAUGCUAAAUGUUAAAUUGAAACUCAAUGUAUUUAUAGAGAGAGUAAGAGCACUUUGGGGGAAAAGUCUAUAGUAUUCUUUUAAAUUAUUUAGCC